GGCAACACAGAAGACCUGUAUACCUCUCACCAAUCACUGAAGACUUCAUGUUUGUGCUGACAUAAUAUCAAAUUUACUGGGUCCGUGGAUAUGUCAGUGAAAGAGAUUCACAAUGUGAGAAGAAAAGUGCCUACUUGCUGUGGAGGAUAUGAUGACAUUUGCUUACUUUGGAGCUGAUCAGGACUGCUUAUAGGCAGAAGUAAAGCUCUUUAGAGCUGGUGAGUGUGACGAUGAGCCUUCCACGGAAGCAUGAACUUCAGAUGAGCUCCUUGGGGGCAUCAGGGAUAGAACUGAGCUGCUAUUACCAGGCAAACACUGGAUACUGUAGUUGAGGUCACUGGAGCUGUGGGAUUUCUCCUCCAGCACCACGCACUGUGUGGUUUCAAGUCCCUGCAGAGUCUGUUAGGGAGCAUCCAUUUUUCUGCAAGUGCAUGCUGUAAACUGUGCUCGCUUGUCAGAGUGGUGAAGGACGGCAUCCAGAUCAUCUCUGUAAGCUGAACUGUCAUGUUAAACUGCAGCAGAAGAAAAAUGACAAACUCCUGCUGAAGCUGGUGGCUGAGGAUUGCGAAACCUGCCCCUUUCUCGUUGUGUGUUCUGCUCUUGGCCGACCUGAGGGCCUGGAGAAGUUCAGCAGUUCAGUGAAGCACACAGCAACCCCCUCCCCACAAGGGCAAUGCACUGCCCACAUGAAACUGUGAUUGUGAUUAAAACAGAAAAGUGGUAGCUGG